rnacentral:rRNA from 2 species
GUCGAGCGCGUAGCAAUACGAGCGGCAGACGGGUGAGUAACGCGUGGGAAUCUACCCAUCACUAGGGAAUAACUCAGGGAAACUUGUGCUAAUACCCUAUACGACCGAGAGGUGAAAGAUUUAUCGGUGAUGGAUGAGCCCGCGUUGGAUUAGCUAGUUGGUGGGGUAAAGGCCUACCAAGGCGACGAUCCAUAGCUGGUCUGAGAGGAUGAUCAGCCACACUGGGACUGAGACACGGCCCAGACUCCUACGGGAGGCAGCAGUGGGGAAUAUUGGACAAUGGGCGCAAGCCUGAUCCAGCCAUGCCGCGUGAGUGAUGAAGGCCCUAGGGUUGUAAAGCUCUUUCACCGGUGAAGAUAAUGACGGUAACCGGAGAAGAAGCCCCGGCUAACUUCGUGCCAGCAGCCGCGGUAAUACGAAGGGGGCUAGCGUUGUUCGGAUUUACUGGGCGUAAAGCGCACGUAGGCGGGCUAAUAAGUCAGGGGUGAAAUCCCGGGGCUCAACCCCGGAACUGCCUUUGAUACUGUUAGUCUUGAGUAUGGAAGAGGUGAGUGGAAUUCCGAGUGUAGA